rnacentral:lncRNA from 1 species
GCCGUAUCCCAGAGCAGAAACACGGCAUUAUUUCCUAUUUGCAGAUGAGAGUGGCAGUUUCACAAAAAAGGAAAUUACUGGUCAUUGUCAUAGCAUCACCAUGGAAUGUGGUACUGAGACCAUGUAGAAAUCAUUUCCAUGAAGAUCAUCGCUAUAUCAGAUUGGCCUAAUCCUGCUUUCCCUGAAGCCUCUGCCCUCUACUCUGAUUCCCAGGUUGGCUGGGAUGUACAGUGGCUUCAAUCCCAGAUGGCUCCAAUCCAGCAAUAGGAUUUUCUCUGUGCGUGAGAACAGUGAGGGGAGAAGACCCAACCUCCUGUCAUCUGCAUUGCUGGAAAUGUAGCCCAGGCUUGACCUCGGAAAGCACCAGGCUGUCUGACGGGGCUCUGCAGACCUGAGGGUAUCCUGCUGAAAGGAGGGAACACAGAAACAGACCCAGGGAGCUGCGCCCCUGGUGGGUCCUAGGUAGGCCUCAUAGCUUCACUGGAGACCCGGAGCUGGCUGGGAGUCAAGGCUGACUGCAUCUCAUCUACCCAUAGUCAGCAGCUGGACGACUGAGCCAGAGCUGGAGGUGGGUCCUGGACAGUAAGUGCUGGGCUGGGCUCAGCAGGCUCCCACAGUCCUAGUGACACAGG